AAACCAGGAUUAGAUACCCUAUUAUACUUUAAUUUCUUUGGUAGUAUUACUAUUUUUAAUAAACCAAUGUAGUUUGGCGGCAUUCAAUCACUUUAGAGGAACCUGUCUAUUAAUCGACUCUCCACGAUAUCUUUCACUUUUAUUUAUAUUUUAUAUACCACCAUCUUUUAGGAUUAAUAUAAAUAUUCUUUCCUUAAUAGAAACUUCUCAUAAGUUAGGUAAAGGUGUAGACUAUAUAAAAGAUAAGAUGGGUUACAUUAAGAAAUACUAAAGGAUAAUCAUUCAAAUAUUUUUGGAAAAAGGAUUUAUUAGUAAUAUUAAAAGAUUAAUUAUAAAUGAAAUUGACAAAUAUGUGCACAUAUCGCCCGUCACUCUCACA
rnacentral:rRNA from 1 species